GUUGUCGCUUCAUCUUUGUGUUUGCAGUGCUGAUUAACAAAGUGUCUCUGCAGGAAACGGUAUAUAGAGAGGGUGUUACUGGCGGUUCUGUUCUCCUGCCGUGUUCUUCUAGUGAUCAUGUUCAGAAACUUAAAGACAUCGAUGUAAGCUGGAGACAGAAUGACAGCGAGAUUGUGUAUGAUAUAAUCAAGGGUGAAGAUUCAGUGGCAGAACAGGACCGUCGGUACAAGAAUAGAGUUGAAACGUUUCCAUUGGAGUAUGAGAGAGGAAACUUCUCCAUCAAACUCAACAAUCUCAAUUACACUGAUACUGGAGAGUUCAACUGCCUCAUCACACCCUCAAACGAACAGACGAAUGUUGUACUGAUCAUCAAGGCAGGAAAAGAAAACAAACAUAAACAAGAAGACCAAGGACUGGACCAGACGACUGGACCACAUAUCAUUUACAUAUGUGUUGGCACUCUCUUAGGUGUAAUUAUUG